rnacentral:rRNA from 1 species
AUUGAACGCUGGCGGCAUGCUUUACACAUGCAAGUCGAACGGUAACAGGUCUUUCGGGAUGCUGACGAGUGGCGAACGGGUGAGUAAUGUAUCGGAACGUGCCCAGUAGUGGGGGAUAACUACUCGAAAGAGUGGCUAAUACCGCAUGAGAUCUCUGGAUGAAAGCGGGGGGACCGUAAGGCCUCGCGCUACUGGAGCGGCCGAUAUCAGAUUAGGUUGUUGGUGAGGUAAAGGCUCACCAAGCCGACGAUCUGUAGCUGGUCUGAGAGGACGACCAGCCACACUGGGACUGAGACACGGCCCAGACUCCUACGGGAGGCAGCAGUGGGGAAUUUUGGACAAUGGGCGCAAGCCUGAUCCAGCAAUGCCGCGUGCAGGACGAAGGCCUUCGGGUUGUAAACUGCUUUGUACGGUACGAAAGACCUUCUUCUAAUACAGGAGGGUCGAUGACGGUACCGUAAGAAUAAGCACCGGCUAACUACGUAGCCAGCAGCCG